CCUACGGGUGGCAGCAGUGGGGAAUAUUAGACAAUGGGGGCAACCCUGAUCCAGCCAUGCCGCGUGUGUGAAGAAGGCCCUCGGGUUGUAAAGCACUUUCAGUGAGGAAGAACGCCUGGUGGUUAAUACCCAUCAGGAAAGACAUCACUCACAGAAGAAGCACCGGCUAACUCCGUGCCAGCAGCCGCGGUAAUACGGAGGGUGCGAGCGUUAAUCGGAAUUACUGGGCGUAAAGCGCGCGUAGGUGGCUUGAUAAGCCGGUUGUGAAAGCCCCGGGCUCAACCUGGGAACGGCAUCCGGAACUGUCAAGCUAGAGUGCAGGAGAGGAAGGUAGAAUUCCCGGUGUAGCGGUGAAAUGCGUAGAGAUCGGGAGGAAUACCAGUGGCGAAGGCGGCCUUCUGGACUGACACUGACACUGAGGUGCGAAAGCGUGGGUAGCAAACAGGAUUAGAUACCCCAGUAGUC
rnacentral:rRNA from 1 species